rnacentral:rRNA from 1 species
GUCUAUGGCCAUACUACCCUGAACAUACUCAAUUUCAGAAGCCAAGCAGGGUAGAGCCUGGUUUGUACUUGGAUGGAAGAACUCAGGACUUACAAGUA